rnacentral:tRNA from 1 species
GGGUAUAUGGCUCAGUGGUUGAGUGCUUGCUUAGCAAGCAUGAGGUCCUGGGUUCAAUCCCCACUACCUCCA